CCCACAGCUGAGGACCCUGGCCAUGCCCCUCCUCAUCCCGUAGCCAGGCUCUGCCUGCUCCCACGACCUUACCAGCUGCACACCCUCCUUUCUGGAUCCUUCCAGCCUCCUAAGGAGGGCACUGCAGUCAGCCAUGCUUUAUGUCCAGCAGAGGGCCUUCUAGAGGGGUCACCACAGAGCACUGCUUCAUCUCUCUCCACAGCAGUCUUUCCCAGGCUUCACCAACCCCAGGCCUCACCUUCCUGCCAAGCUCAUGCUAGGCCUCACCUUCGGGCAAGCCCACUCCAGCCUCACCAAUUCCAGGCAUCACCUUCCCGCCAAGCCUGCCCUAGGCAUC
rnacentral:lncRNA from 1 species